rnacentral:rRNA from 1 species
GAUGAACGCUGGCGGCGUGCAUAACACAUUCAAGUCGAACGGUGAAGGGACUUCGGUCCCUGAUCAGUGGCGGACGGGUGAGUAACGCGUGAGCAACCUGCCUUUCAAAGCGGGAUAACGACUGGAAACGGUCGCUAAUACCGCAUGAUGUAUACGGAUCGCAUGGUUUGUAUACCAAAGGGGGCAACCCGAUGAAGNUGGGCUCGCGUCUGAUUAGAUAGUUGGUGGGGUAACGGCCUACCAAGUCGACGAUCAGUAGCCGAACUGAGAGGUUGAUCGGCCACAUUGGGACUGAGACACGGCCCUAAACUCCUACGGGAGGCAGCAGU